UGGGUAACCUGCCUCAAAGAGGGGAAUAGCCUCCCGAAAGGGAGAUUAAUACCGCAUAAUAUGUUUAGGUCGCAUGACUUUAACAUCAAAGGAUUUUCUUUUAGAAAUUCCACUUUGAGAUGGACCCGCGGCGCAUUAGCUAGUUGGUGAGGUAACGGCUCACCAAGGCAACGAUGCGUAGCCGACCUGAGAGGGUGAUCGGCCACAUUGGAACUGAGACACGGUCCAGACUCCGUAGGGACGG
rnacentral:rRNA from 1 species